AUACUUAUCUGCCAGGGGAGAUACCAUGAUCAUGAAGGUGUCUUUCCCAGGGCAAGUCUUAUCUAUUGCAUUUCACAUGUGCUGACCCCUGAGGUUUUCCAAAAAGUGGGAAUCUCAACUACAUAUUUUACUAUAGUAGGGAACUGCGUUCAUGUUCUCCUCUG